UACGUAGGGUGCAAGCGUUAAUCGGAAUUACUGGGCGUAAAGCGUGCGCAGGCGGUUAUGUAAGACAGGCGUGAAAUCCCCGGGCUCAACCUGGGAAUUGCGCUUGUGACUGCAUAACUAGAGUACGGCAGAGGGGGAUGGAAUUCCGCGUGUAGCAGUGAAAUGCGUAGAUAUGCGGAGGAACACCGAUGGCGAAGGCAGUCCCCUGGGCCUGUACUGACGCUCAUGCACGAAAGCGUGGGGAGCAAACAGG
rnacentral:rRNA from 1 species